CUCCUGGGCAUUCUGACGGGUCAUGGAAUGGCUGCAUUGCUCCUCCUCCAAUCUUUUUUUAUAGUCAACUUCCUGACAACAAAAAUUGGGCUAUAAUCUGAGUGGCCAAGAGUAUCCUAGUUUCCUGCACAGCUCUCCCUCCAUAGCCUUUUGACAGAUAUGGGAAGACUGAAUAUGUUUACGCAAGCAGAUAACAGCAACUGAGCUUACCCGUGCUUCCUUGAUUUCAAGUUGACAUGACUCAUGAGACACAGAGACAGCAGGUGGAGAGGACAACUGUGCUGCCAGUUUUGCAUCUUUUGGUGUUGCAGAUGAAGGUG